GCCCUUGUAGCACAAUGGAUAGCGCGCCGGUUUCCGAAACCGGAGGUUGCAGGUUCGAAUCCUGCCAAGGGUG
rnacentral:tRNA from 1 species